GUGAUGAUACUGAUGAUGAUGAUGGUGCAUUGCCACAAGCAUCACUGCGACAGAUACCGGUACAUCAUGUUUCAGCAAACCACCCCAUAUCCAAGGAUAAAAUUAAAGGGAACCGCUUGAGGUCUUUUCAGCAGGGUGGGUAGCAUGGGUAAGGAACUUAUAGGGUAAGACCACGUGGCGUUGUGUUGACAUAAGCAAGUCUUCCAUAGUGCAGCACGGCCUUCUCACCUUCGAGUCAAAAGUGAAACAGAAGCGAGGGAUGAGACAAGUCAGAAAACAGAGAGAUGAGAGGGGCCUGUUGUCUACUACAGAGUGAAUCACUUGAUACUGUUCACUAAUCCCCUUAAAUCACAGCUUCUAUUACUUAUCACUCCAAAACAGCACUGUAGGUGGUCUACAGUCACAUGACCAAAUUCAUUUCAUCCUCUUAGCAAAACAAUCACACAGUUUGUCCAACUACACACUGUAAGAAAAAUCAUCUUUGUUUCCGUCUAUCCAUCCACCUUUCAGAACAAUGUCUUGUUGUCUAGUCAAGUUUUCAUUAUAUGAUUUUUAUCAUCAGUAACAUUUCUUCCACUGCAAACUUAAAGGACUUCAUCUCCAAGCUUAUCCCUUUCAAAACGUGACAGAUUAGCACUGAGAGUUCUCAGUCCUGUGUGGUUAUCCUGUACAGACUGUAAUACCAUCCUGAAACCCGGUUACUGCUCUUCAAUCCUCCCUCCUUGUACUUCAAAAUAAAAUGUUUAGUAACUUAUAUAAAUUACAUCAGUUACAGUAUUUGUUUAAACUUACACAAAUUCCAAAUUGAGCCAGUUUGCUUUUUGCACAGAUAUUGUAUAAUGUAAUCAAUAACCAAAUUGGUAUAAAAAGACAAACAUUGUGUUAAUGAAAUAACUGUACAGUAUAUGCAGGUUUGGCUCCAUGUCUGGGAUGGAACGCCCCCUUUCCACAAUCCAAUCAAAUCUCAAAUAGAUAAAAUCAAGCCUCAUCCCACAUUUUCCCUUACUGAAUAUCCUGUUACACUUGUAACACAGAUACAGAGGUAUUUUUAAGCACAGAAAUUUGUGUUUAAGAUGCUGUGUGUAGAUUUUAACAGCAUCUAGUGGUGAGAUUGUGAAUUGCAACCCAAGUCUAACUGUGCAUUCACACCAGCCGCAGUAGAGGCGGCAAAAACACGGUAUUCGUGCGUAGUUGGAUGCUUGUACAUUUUGAGUGUACUCACUUCAUUUGCGCGUGAAAUUCUAGUUAUUCGAGACAUUCACAUGGAAAUUCGCUUCAUGUGAGGGGCUUCUGUGACUCCACUCGAUCCCUGUAAGUACAUCACUACUAGAGCGAGCUCCUUAUUGGUUAACGCGGCGUGAAUAUCCGCCAAAGUUCAGAUUUUUCAACUUGCGCAUUUCCUUGGGCAAUGCUCAAAUCCAUUCUGUGCCAUUCGUGCAUACUGCGGGAUGCCUAUUCGCAUCUUUGCAUUGACAUAACUUAAUUAAUUUACUCUAAAUCACUUGCGCUUGCCGCCUCUUCCGCAUCUGGUGUGAAUGCCACAUUAGUCCACAGCUCAUCCCUUCCAUUUUGAAACACAUAGAGAAGCUACGGUAGCCACCACAGGACAAACAUGUUGUCAUCUGAUAAAAUGUAGUGACAAAACACCCUCUGUACAUAACAUAACAGUUCAUUAUGUAUACCACUAAAAAUAUAGCUAUGUAGAUUAUAUUGCAUUUCUGUCAAAAGAUCUUCCUAAAAGUUAAGCAGUGCACCUUUAACUGAAUUUGUGAAAACUAGUUGUGCUGGUGAGUGGAAACGGUCAUUACUCACCAGCCAUGACAACAGUGCACAUGCUGCCAUGCUCAUCAUAGUCAGACACAUGGUUACAGACAGAUUGGGAUGAGUGCAGUUUGUCCAUCACACUUUAUGAACAAAGCUGAGACACAAGCCAAUCAGUAAAGACUCUCCGAAACACACAGCCGGUCUCCAACUGAGACAUGGACUGUGAUUGGCAGAGGAAGUAAGGAUCAGAG